AUCUACUUAUUUAGACAUAGGAAUCACUAGGACUAGGAGAGUGGAGGCAGCAUCCAGCUACUCAUUGAAGCUGGUGGGUCUUUCGGAGAUUAAGGCAGGGAGUAAUGUUAGAUCGUAUGAAUCAGAUGUAUUUACUGCUUCAGGGUAUCAAUGGAGAUUGAUCUUGUACCCUCUUGGCAACGACAAUGACGGUGGGAAAAUCACUUCUCAAUCUAUGUAAGACUAGAAACUUUGGUUUCAAAUCUUCCGAAGAAUUGGGAGAUUCAAGUGGAUAUGAAGUUCUUGGUUUUUAAUCAGAACCAUAAAAAGUAUUUGACAGUCCAAGAUGGGAUCUGAAACGAUACAAUGAAGCUAAAAAAAUAGUUUGGUAUAGCUCAGUUUAUCGAACUCUCAACGCUGAAAGAUCAAAAGAAUGGGUAUGCAGUGAAGGACACUUGUACCUUUGGCGUUGAUAUUGCUAUUUUGAAACCUGCUGAGAAACUCGAGACUGUUACCUUCUUACACAACCCUCCAAACAACAAAUUCACUUGGAAGAUCUUUCAUUUCUCGAACCUGAGUGACCAGGAAUUUGUUCUGUCUGAUCAGUUCCUUGCUGGGCAGAGAUACUGGAAAAUUAGAGUUGAUCCGAAAAGGGAACGAGAGGGGGUGUAUAUAUUGUUCCCCAAACCCAUUUGCCAAACUGUGCUAUCGCCAGCAGUUUACGUAAUGUUCAAAUUGAAAAUUCGGAACCAACUAAACGGGAACCACAUAGAGAGAACUGAUAUCUGUAAUUUAUUUUUGUCGAGUGGUGACCGGACGUGGUCAUGGGGUACCAAAACUAAUAACACAGAAGGAUCUGUACGAUAAAUCCAAAGGGUUCUUGGUGAAAGACACCAUCAUUGUUGAAGUUGAAAUGCUUUGUAUGAGCCAGACCCAAGUCAUCUCCAAGUAGAUGACUAUUAUCACUUAUUUUGCUCUGCAUAUAUAUAUAUAUGUGUGUGUGUGUGUGUGUGUGUUGGUGUGAGAGAAACCUUGAGUUUCUGAAUAGAGGAAAUACACUAUGUUGAAUGCCUCUAGUUAUGUUUCAUUUGCGUUUGUAUGUUUACGUGAAUUGUUU